UGCAGCUCACGUACAGCAAAUUUGAAUAUGAUGGGAAAAUUGAUCCGUCUUUCGUGGAAGGUCCAUUUCAACUUCCAUUAUCAAGAAUUGCAGCAUAUAUAAAUGACCCAGUCACUCCCAGGUUCAUACAUGUGAGCUCUGCGGGAGUUACUCAGCCUGACAGGCCUGGACUUGGUUUAAGCAAACAACCUCCCGCCGUCCGCUUGAAUAAGGAGUUGGACUUCAUUCUCACAUUCAAAUUGAAGAGGGAGGAUUUGAUGCGGGAAAGUAGAAUUCCAUAUACAAUUGUAAGGCCUUGUGCGCUUACUGAAGAGCCUGCUGGAGCCGAUCUCAUUUUUGACAAGGGAGAUAA